rnacentral:rRNA from 1 species
CGGCAACAGCUCAAAUUUGAAAUCUGGCCACCCCCGCGGCGGCCCGAGUUGUAAUUUGCAGAGGAUGCUUUUGGCGCGGCGCCCUCCGAGUUCCCUGGAACGGGACGCCGGAGAGGGUGAGAGCCCCGUGCGGUGGGACGCCUAGCCUCUGUAAAGCUCCUUCGAC